rnacentral:rRNA from 1 species
AUUGAACGCUGGCGGCAGGCCUAACACAUGCAAGUCGAGCGGAUGAAGGGAGCUUGCUCCUGGAUUCAGCGGCGGACGGGUGAGUAAUGCCUAGGAAUCUGCCUGGUAGUGGGGGAUAACGUCCGGAAACGGGCGCUAAUACCGCAUACGUCCUGAGGGAGAAAGUGGGGGAUCUUGGGACUUCACGCUAUCGGAUAAGCCUAGGUCGGAUUAGCUAGUUGGUGGGUUAAAGGCCUACCAAGGCGACGAUCCGUAACUGGUCUGAGAGGAUGAUCAGUCACACUGGAACUGAGACACGGUCCAGACUCCUACGGGAGGCAGCAGUGGGGAAUAUUGGACAAUGGGCGAAAGCCUGAUCCAGCCAUGCCGCGUGUGUGAAGAAGGUCUUCGGAUUGUAAAGCACUUUAAGUUGGGAGGAAGGGCAGUAAGUUAAUACCUUGCUGUUUUGACGUUACCAACAGAAUAAGCACCGGCUAACUUCGUG